rnacentral:rRNA from 1 species
UAAGUUAUUAAGGGCGCACGGUGGAUGCCUUGGCACUAGAAGCCGAUGAAGGACGUUACUAACGACGAUAUGCUUUGGGGAGCUGUAAGUAAGCUUUGAUCCAGAGAUUUCCGAAUGGGGAAACCCAGCAUGAGUUAUGUCAUGUUAUCGAUAUGUGAAUACAUAGCAUAUCAGAAGGCACACCCGGAGAACUGAAACAUCUUAGUACCCGGAGGAAGAGAAAGAAAAUUCGAUUCCCUUAGUAGCGGCGAGCGAAAUGGGAAGAGCCCAAACCAACAAGCUUGCUUGUUGGGGUUGUAGGACACUCUAUACGGAGUUACAAAGGACGACAUUAGACGAAUCAUCUGGAAAGAUGAAUCAAAGAGGUAAUAAUCCUGUAGUCGAAAAUGUUGUCUCUCUUGAGUGGAUCCUGAGUACGACGGAGCACGUGAAAUUCCGUCGGAAUCUGGGAGGACCAUCUCCUAAGGCUAAAUACUCUCUAGUGACCGAUAGUGAACCAGUACCGUGAGGGAAAGGUGAAAAGCACCCCGGAAGGGGAGUGAAAUAGAACCUGAAACCGUGUGCUUACAAGUAGUCAGAGCCCGUUAAUGGGUGAUGGCGUGCCUUUUGUAGAAUGAACCGGCGAGUUACGAUUUGAUGCAAGGUUAAGCAGUAAAUGUGGAGCCGUAGCGAAAGCGAGUCUGAAUAGGGCGUUUAGUAUUUGGUCGUAGACCCGAAACCAGGUGAUCUACCCUUGGUCAGGUUGAAGUUCAGGUAACACUGAAUGGAGGACCGAACCGACUUACGUUGAAAAGUGAGCGGAUGAACUGAGGGUAGCGGAGAAAUUCCAAUCGAACCUGGAGAUAGCUGGUUCUCUCCGAAAUAGCUUUAGGGCUAGCCUCAAGUGAUGAUUAUUGGAGGUAGAGCACUGUUUGGACGAGGGGCCCCUCUCGGGUUACCGAAUUCAGACAAACUCCGAAUGCCAAUUAAUUUAACUUGGGAGUCAGAACAUGGGUGAUAAGGUCCGUGUUCGAAAGGGAAACAGCCCAGACCACCAGCUAAGGUCCCAAAAUAUAUGUUAAGUGGAAAAGGAUGUGGCGUUGCCCAGACAACUAGGAUGUUGGCUUAGAAGCAGCCAUCAUUUAAAGAGUGCGUAAUAGCUCACUAGUCGAGUGACACUGCGCCGAAAAUGUACCGGGGCUAAACAUAUUACCGAAGCUGUGGAUUGUCCUUUGGACAAUGGUAGGAGAGCGUUCUAAGGGCGUUGAAGCAUGAUCGUAAGGACAUGUGGAGCGCUUAGAAGUGAGAAUGCCGGUGUGAGUAGCGAAAGACGGGUGAGAAUCCCGUCCACCGAUUGACUAAGGUUUCCAGAGGAAGGCUCGUCCGCUCUGGGUUAGUCGGGUCCUAAGCUGAGGCCGACAGGCGUAGGCGAUGGAUAACAGGUUGAUAUUCCUGUACCACCUAUAAUCGUUUUAAUCGAUGGGGGGACGCAGUAGGAUAGGCGAAGCGUGCGAUUGGAUUGCACGUCUAAGCAGUAAGGCUGAGUAUUAGGCAAAUCCGGUACUCGUUAAGGCUGAGCUGUGAUGGGGAGAAGACAUUGUGUCUUCGAGUCGUUGAUUUCACACUGCCGAGAAAAGCCUCUAGAUAGAAAAUAGGUGCCCGUACCGCAAACCGACACAGGUAGUCAAGAUGAGAAUUCUAAGGUGAGCGAGCGAACUCUCGUUAAGGAACUCGGCAAAAUGACCCCGUAACUUCGGGAGAAGGGGUGCUCUUUAGGGUUAACGCCCAGAAGAGCCGCAGUGAAUAGGCCCAAGCGACUGUUUAUCAAAAACACAGGUCUCUGCUAAACCGUAAGGUGAUGUAUAGGGGCUGACGCCUGCCCGGUGCUGGAAGGUUAAGAGGAGUGGUUAGCUUCUGCGAAGCUACGAAUCGAAGCCCCAGUAAACGGCGGCCGUAACUAUAACGGUCCUAAGGUAGCGAAAUUCCUUGUCGGGUAAGUUCCGACCCGCACGAAAGGCGUAACGAUUUGGGCACUGUCUCAACGAGAGACUCGGUGAAAUCAUAGUACCUGUGAAGAUGCAGGUUACCCGCGACAGGACGGAAAGACCCCGUGGAGCUUUACUGUAGCCUGAUAUUGAAAUUCGGCACAGCUUGUACAGGAUAGGUAGGAGCCUUUGAAACGUGAGCGCUAGCUUACGUGGAGGCGCUGGUGGGAUACUACCCUAGCUGUGUUGGCUUUCUAACCCGCACCACUUAUCGUGGUGGGAGACAGUGUCAGGCGGGCAGUUUGACUGGGGCGGUCGCCUCCUAAAAGGUAACGGAGGCGCUCAAAGGUUCCCUCAGAAUGGUUGGAAAUCAUUCAUAGAGUGUAAAGGCAUAAGGGAGCUUGACUGCGAGACCUACAAGUCGAGCAGGGUCGAAAGACGGACUUAGUGAUCCGGUGGUUCCGCAUGGAAGGGCCAUCGCUCAACGGAUAAAAGCUACCCCGGGGAUAACAGGCUUAUCUCCCCCAAGAGUUCACAUCGACGGGGAGGUUUGGCACCUCGAUGUCGGCUCAUCGCAUCCUGGGGCUGUAGUCGGUCCCAAGGGUUGGGCUGUUCGCCCAUUAAAGCGGUACGCGAGCUGGGUUCAGAACGUCGUGAGACAGUUCGGUCCCUAUCCGUCGUGGGCGUAGGAAAUUUGAGAGGAGCUGUCCUUAGUACGAGAGGACCGGGAUGGACAUACCUCUGGUGUACCAGUUGUCGUGCCAACGGCAUAGCUGGGUAGCUAUGUGUGGACGGGAUAAGUGCUGAAAGCAUCUAAGCAUGAAGCCCCCCUCAAGAUGAGAUUUCCCAACUUCGGUUAUAAGAUCCCUCAAAGAUGAUGAGGUUAAUAGGUUCGAGGUGGAAGCAUGGUGACAUGUGGAGCUGACGAAUACUAAUCGAUCGAAGACUUAAUCA